GUUUCUGUAGGGUAGUGGUUAGCAACGUUCGCCCUAACACAGGCGAAAGGUCCCUGGUUCGAAACCGGGCAGAAACA